UACCUUUCAGUGGGGGGUAACGUAGCGAAAGUUACGCUAAUACCGCAUAUUCUGUGAGUAGGAAAGCAGGGGAUCGCAAGACCUUGCGCUGAUGGAGCGGCCGAUGUCAGAUUAGCUAGUUGGUGGGGUAAAGGCUCACCAAGGCGACGAUCUGUAGCGGGUCUUAGAGGAUGAUCCGCCACACUGGAACUGAGACACGGUCCAGACUCCUACGGGAGGCAGCAGUGGGGAAUUUUGGACAAUGGGCGCAAGCCUGAUCCAGCCAUGCCGCGUGAGUGAAGAAGGCCUUCGGGUUGUAAAGCUCUUUCGGCCGGGAAAAAAUCGCUUGGGUUAAUACCCUGAGUGGAUGAUGGUACCGGAAUAAGAAGCACCGGCUAACUACGUGCCAGCAGCCGCGGUAAUACGUAGGGUGCGAGCGUUAAUCGGAACUACUGGGCGUAAAGCGUGCGCAGGCGGUUUUGUAAGACAGGCGUGAAAUCCCCGGGCUCAACCUGGGAACUGCGUUUGUGACUGCAAGGCUAGAGUAUGGCAGAGGGGGGUGGAAUUCCACGUGUAGCAGUGAAAUGCGUAGAGAUGUGGAGGAACACCAAUGGCGAAGGCAGCCCCCUGGGCCAAUACUGACGCUCAUGCACGAAAGCGUGGGGAGCAAACAGGAUUAGAUACCCUGGUAGUCCACGCCCUAAACGAUGUCAACUAGGUGUUGGGUGGGUAAAACCAUUUGGUACCGUAGCUAACGCGUGAAGUUGACCGCCUGGGGAGUACGGCCGCAAGGUUAAAACUCAAAGGAAUUGACGGGGACCCGCACAAGCGGUGGAUGAUGUGGAUUAAUUCGAUGCAACGCGAAAAACCUUACCUACCCUUGACAUGCCAGGAACUUGCCAGAGAUGGCUUGGUGCCCGAAAGGGAGCCUGGACACAGGUGCUGCAUGGCUGUCGUCAGCUCGUGUCGUGAGAUGUUGGGUUAAGUCCCGCAACGAGCGCAACCCUUGUCGUUAAUUGCCAUCAUUUAGUUGGGCACUUUAACGAGACUGCCGGUGACAAACCGGAGGAAGGUGGGGAUGACGUCAAGUCCUCAUGGCCCUUAUGGGUAGGGCUUCACACGUCAUACAAUGGUCGGUACAAAGGGUUGCCAAGCCGCGAGGCGGAGCCAAUCCCAGAAAGCCGAUCGUAGUCCGGAUCGCAGGCUGCAACUCGCCUGCGUGAAGUCGGAAUCGCUAGUAAUCGUGGAUCAGCAUGUCACGGUGAAUACGUUCCCGGGUCUUGUACACACCGCCCGUCACACCAUGGGAGCGGGUUCCGCCAUAAGUAGGUAGCCUAACCGCAA
rnacentral:rRNA from 1 species